UCUUAAAUAGGGCGAUUUUAGUUAGGUGGCGUAGACCCGAAACCGAGUGAUCUAACCAUGGCCAGGGUGAAGCAGGUCUGAUCGCCUGUGAAGGCCCGAACCCACUUAUGUUGAAAAAUGAGGGGAUGAGCUGUGGUUAGGGGUGAAAGACCAAUCAAACUCGGAGAUAGCUGGUUCUCCUCGAAAUAGCUUUAGGGCUAGCCUCAAAUGUUUGCCUAUGGAGGUAGAGCACUGAAUGGACUAAGGACCCCACCAGGUUACUGAACCCAAUCAAACUCCGAAUGCCAUAGGUUUAUAGUUUGGGAGUCAGACUGCGGGGGAUAAGCUUCGUAGUCGAAAGGGAAACAGCCCAGACCAGCAGCUAAGGUCCCCAAGUGCAAGCUAAGUGUGAAAGGAAGUAGAAUUACCGAGACAGCCAGGAUGUUGGCUCAGAGGCAGCCAUCAUUUAAAAAGUGCGUAACAGCUUACUGGUCAAGUGAUUCUGCACCGAAAAAUGUACGGGGCUAAAGUUUGCCACCGAAGCUCUGGAUCCAGAAUUUAUUCUGGGUGGUAGAGGAGCGUUCCUUUAUGGGAUGAAGGGUAACCGUAAGGAUACCUGGACUAAAAGGAAGUGAGAAUGCCGGCAUUAGUAACGAUAAGGAGAGUGAGAAUCUCUCCCGCCGAAAACCUAAGGUUUCCUGGGGAAGGUAAAUCCGCCCAGGGUUAGUCGGAACCUAAGCCGAGGCCGAAAGGCGUAGGUGAUGGACAACCGGUCAACAUUCCGGUACUACCAGAUUAUCGCUUUAAGUGAUGGGGGGACGCAGGAAGGUAGGUCAGCACGAUAAAAGUUACGUGUCCAAGCCUGAUAUGGGAGAAGAUAGGAAAAUCCGUCUUCUAUUAAAACCCUAAGAGGUGAUAGGGAGCUGCUAUGGCAGCGAACUGAUCGAUCCUACACUGCCAAGAAAAGCCUCUAAACAAGAUAACCUGGUAUCCGUACUAAAACCGACACAGGUAGGUAGGUAGAGAAUACCAAGGCGCUCGAGAUAACCCUCGUUAAGGAACUCGGCAAAAUGACUCCGUAACUUCGGGAGAAGGAGUGCCCCGGUAGGGUGAGUUGAUUUACUCAUACAAGCCCGAAGGGGUUGCAAAGAAACGGCCCAAGCGACUGUUUACUAAAAACACAGGUCUCUGCUAAAUCGAAAGAUGAUGUAUAGGGACUGACGCCUGCCCGGUGCUGGAAGGUUAAGGAAGGAGGUUACCCCUCGUAAGAGGGGGAAGCUUCUGACCGAAGCCCCAGUAAACGGCGGCCGUAACUAUAACGGUCCUAAGGUAGCGAAAUUCCUUGUCGGGUAAGUUCCGACCUGCACGAAUGGCGUAACGAUUUGGGCACUGUCUCAACGAGGGACUCGGUGAAGUUGUAGUGUAAGUGAAGAUGCUUACUACCCGCGACAGGACGGAAAGACCCCGUGAACCUUUACUGUAGCCUGAUAUUGAAUUUUAGCAUAUCCUGUGUAGGAUAGGUGGUAGGCUGUGAAAGAGGGGCGUUAGCCUCUCCGGAGCCAUCCUUGAAAUACCACCCUUGGUAUGUUUGGGUUCUAACCUUUCGCCGUUAUCCGGCAAAGGGACAGUAUUUGGUGGGCAGUUUGACUGGGGCGGUCACCUCCUAAAGAGUAACGGAGGUGUCCCAAGGUCUCCUCAGUGUGGUUGGAAAUCACACCAAAGAGUGUAAGGGCAUAAGGAGGCUUAACUGCGAGAGAGACAUCUCGAGCAGAUGCGAAAGCAGGGCCUAGUGAUCCGGCGGUAACUAGUGGAUGUGCCGUCGCUUAACGGAUAAAAGGUACUCCGGGGAUAACAGGCUUAUCUCCCCCAAGAGUCCAUAUCGACGGGGAGGUUUGGCACCUCGAUGUCGGCUCGUCGCAUCCUGGGGCUGAAGCAGGUCCCAAGGGUUUGGCUGUUCGCCAAUUAAAGCGGUACGCGAGCUGGGUUUAGAACGUCGUGAGACAGUUCGGUCCCUAUCCGUCGUGGGCGUAGGAUACUUGAAGAGGGUCUGCCUCUAGUACGAGAGGACCGAGGUGGACGAACCUCUAGUGUACCAGUUGUCCUGCUCAGGGCAUUGCUGGGUAGCUAUGUUCGGUCGGGAUAAACGCUGAAAGCAUCUAAGCGUGAAACCCACCUCAAGAUUAGGUAUCCCACCUGGAUUUAUCCAGGGAGAGACCCCGGGUAGACUACCCGGUUGAUAGGUCAGAAGUGUAAGGACAGUAAUGUCUUUAGCUAACUGAUACUAAUAGGUCGAGGGCUUGAUCG
rnacentral:rRNA from 1 species